rnacentral:lncRNA from 1 species
UAGCUCAAAGAUUAAUAUUUAAUCACAUACGCAAGUUAUGAUGUAAUGGUGGCCUAGCGGGUAAGGAAGCGGACUUCUAAACGCAGGUUUGUGGGUUGAAAUCCCAUAUAUCCCGAACCGCCAAUGUGCCACUGAGGGUGAUUCCCACACACAAAGCUAAGAUCCUAAUCCCAUUUUAAUGCAAGCACAACAUCAAUAUAUUGGCAUGAAUGCCACCUGCGAGGUGCUGCAACAAAAGGGAGUGUCCCUGCAUUGCCCAGCUUCAGUGACAGCUCUCCCAUGAAUUGUCCAGGACCUUAUGUGUCUGAAUUAUGCAGCAGCAUGACGACGUGGCAACGUCCUGUCCUGAUGGAAGAAGGCAGAGCAUUUCAUGGUGCUACCUGAUAACAGCGCAUCAAAAAUAAUAAUAAAUGUCACAGUGUGGCCUUCUAGCUGAUACAAGUGGAGUGACAGAACACCCAGACAACACUUUUCCUUAAUACUGGAAUCAGCUAAUGUCACAUUCAAAGCCGGAACUCUGACCUACGCUUGCUCUAUGGAAUUUUCAAUGUACAUUUCAAAUGCCCAUCCAGCACAGAGGACGAAUUUCACUGUGUGCACUUUGUGCUGUGCAUCACAUGUGACAAUCACUUCACUUUCUCACACACACACACACACACAUAUAUAUAUAUAUACACACACACACACACACACACACACACACAUAUACACACACACACACUAGUAAACGUCAGUGUGGCAUUUUGGUGCAAUUACACACACACCGUAAAAAGUUUGCACCUACUCUGUGGCGGUUAUAGAGUCUAGAGACUAAGAUGGUGCCAUUUUAAAGAAACCAAUACAAGAAACAUAUUUAGUAUUAGUUGUAUCAGGAGAAUGACUCUGCUGACACACGACUGCGCUGCACAGUACAGUUUGAACCACAUCAUCAAGUUUGCAGACGACACAGCAGUAGUGGGGCUCAUCACCAACAAUGAUGAGCCUGCAGAGAUAAGAUAAAACAUCUGGUGGAUUGGUGCCGGAGCAACAAGCUGACUCUAAAUGUCACCAAGACCAAAGAGAUGGUUGUCAACUUAAGGAACAAACCGA